AAUCAAUUGGUGUAAGACAAGUUGCUGUGCAACCUUCAGGGUUUCUGAAAAUUUCAUUUUGAAAUUUCAAAACUACUUUUAAUUUUUAACUAGUUUU
rnacentral:misc_RNA from 1 species